CUGUCAACUUUUACCCACAACCAGAAAUAUCUGCUGCCACCUCCACCUGGACAUUCUGAUGGAUUGUUCAAGUCCUCCAAAGCCAAAGUCCGCUCCUUCACGGAUCCUCUUCCAGAAACCUGCACCUCCUCCUCCUCUGCCUACAGAUUCUGGAAGAAAAACUCAAACCUCCACCUGCAGUGUUUUCCAUCAUCUACCUGCAGACUCUGCCAAACACCUCCGCCUCCAUAUACAGCUACACCAUCCACCGAUCUGGUGCAGCUCCAUCCUCUUCCGACAGUCACAGUUUGCUUCUUCCUGAAAUCUCUACAAAGAUGAUGUCUCCCUUCUUCGGUCUUGAGCUGCCAAACUGAAACAAGCCGCCACUACAGCUGAAUCAACAAACAUCAGCUGGUGGAUCACUGCUGUUCCUAAUGACAACAUCAAACUGCUGCCUGGUCAGGUGCUGGAAAUGAUUUGGCACAUCAUCCAAAGACUUCACAGAACAUCAUGAACAUGGUGAUACAGACUGCAGCGACUUGUGUCCUCCCUCAUCUCCUGCCGGCAUCCUCUUCCAGAAACCUGCACCUCCUCCUCAAUCACCAACAGCUACUGGAAGAAAAAUGCAGCACAAGGCCUCCACCUCAAGUGUUUUUGUCUUCCGCCUGCAGUCUCUGCCAAAAACCUGCACUUUGACCUCCAUCUGCAUCCUCUGGCUCUGCAGAUUCUUCAAGACAGCUGCGGCUCCAGUGUCCGCCAUCACACGUGAACGUGUGAACAGCCUACAGUGGUGCCUCCACCCGUAAAUUGACGGAGACAGACUCAGCUCAAUCCAAGGCUCCACCUCGGUCUUCUGUUAGUAAUCUGUAGCUUCCUCACCUGCAGAUUCUGGCAGGAACCUGCUGCUUUGCCCAUCGGCAUAUUUUGGGAGACAAAAGCCUCCGCCUCCUCCUAUGGCUUAUGCAAGAAACCUGCAGUUUCCUCCACCUGUAGAUUCUUGCAGACAGCUGCACCUGGGACAUGCUCUUCCAUUAUAUGCCAGCAGCCUGCAUUGCCACCUGUAGAUCUACGCAGUCAGACGCAGCACAUGUCUCUAGCUCCAGUAUGUGCCAUGAAGCUCGUGAUGUCGUUUCCAGCUCCAGUUCAUAACAGACGGCUGCACCACAUUCCACCUGCUACAGACUCUGCCAGGAACCUGCACCUCCUCCUCAUACUCCUCCUCCUCCACCUACAGAGUCUGGUAGAAAAGUGCAGACCAAACCUCCACCUACAGUGCCUUCCGUUGCUUGCAGACUUUGCCAAAAAACUGCACUGUUUUCGUCACCUGCAGACUCUUGCGGACCAUUGCAACCUUCGCCUCUGGCCUCAGCUAGAAAUCUGUACUUUCCUCCAAUUGCAGAUUCCAGCCAAGUGCCAUAGUUUGGACCUCUGGCCUCUGCCAGCUAACUGCAGCUUCAUCAGCCUGCAUAUUCUGGCAAACCUUUGCAGACGACUGCAACCUGACACUCCGCCUCUGGCCUCUGCUACUAAUCUGUAGUUUCCUCCACCUGCAGAUUGUUGCAGACACCUGAAGAAAAAAUGUCCUCCUCCAUCCUAUGCCAAAAAAUGACAUCGGUGUCAUCACCACGCAGACAGACGCAGUACCAGUCUCUCACUCCAACGUGUGCUACUACCCUACUGAUGUCACCUCCAGUUUAUGACAGACAUCUGCACCAUGAUCCUCCACCUAUAGACACUAGCAAGAGCUGCUCCUCCUCCUGUUCCAUCAACAGAUUCUGGUAGAAAAGUGCAGCUCAAUCCUCCUCCUUCAGUGUCUUCCAUUUUGCAGACUUUGCCAAACAUCUGCAUGGCUUCCUCCACCUGCAGACUUUUGCAGAGAUCUGCAACCUGACACUCCACCUCUGGCCUCUGCUAGUAAUCCGUAGCAUCCUAAAUAUGCAGAUUCUGGCAGACUUCCUGAGUUUGACACGCCACCCACAGCCGUUACAUGCAACCUGAAGUUUCCUCCACCUGUGGAUCCUUGCAGACAGCUGAAGCUCCAAUGUCCAGCAUCAUGUGCAACCAACCUAAAGAUUGUGGUGGAAAGCUGUGCCAUUGACCUCAACCUACAGACUCUGUCAGCAACCUGCAUCUUCCACCUCCACCAUACUUGUGCACAGUUGUCUCUCUCUCUCACACAACCCAACCGGUCAAGGCAGAUGGCCGCCCUCACUGAGCCGGGGUCUGCUCCGAGGUUUCUGCCUUUUAAAAGGAAGUUUUUCCUCGCCACUGUCGCCGAGUGCUUGCUCACGGGGGUUUUGUUGGGUCCUCCUGCUUCCAGACACCUGUGCCUUGUCCUGCAUCUACAUAUUCUAGAAGAGUAUGGGAGUCCAAACAUCCACCUGCAGAGUUUUUCAUCUUCUGCCUGCAGUUUGCAGCUCCAUCAUAAUCAUCCUACAGGCUCUGUCAGCAACCUACACCUCCUUCUCCACCUGAAGAUUCUAACAGACAGCAAUGGGCCUAAAACUCUGCCUACAACCUUUGCCAGAGACAUCCAGUGCUACCUCCACCAUUCUUUCAGAUAACUGUGUCUCAGUGCGUCCACCUCCAGAGACUUACAACUCCUGCUCGCAAACUACUGUUCCAGAAAGCUGCAUUGCCACCUGCAUCAGCUGACAGCAAAAAGACACAGCAGAUUCAUGCAGAUACAUGCAGCACGAGCCUCCACCUCCACCUCCUGUCACUAAGCCACAGUCGCUGCUUUCACUUGAAGAUUCUGGGGCUCAAAAUUCAGAGACUUUCAACACCCUGCAGUCGCCACCUCCUCUCGUCUACAGCAGACACCACCUGCAGCUCCAUCCUUCACAAACAGUCACCAUUUCCCUCUUCCUGAAAACUUCACAUAGAUGACGUCUCCCUUCUUCAGUCUUCGGUAGCCAAAGUCAAACAAGCUGCAGACACAGCUGAUUCAACAAACAUGAGCUGAUGGAUCACUGAGGUUCCUAAUAACAUCAUCAAAGAGUCUCCUGGCCAGCUGCCAAUCAUGGUGAAGUGAUUUGGCAUGUCAGCAAAAGACUUCACAGAAGAUCAUGAUUGUGGUGAGAUAAGUCAC